UCAGGUAGACCUGACGGGCGCUGCGCAGCACCAGGGAGACCAGCAGGUUCUUGUGCAGCUUGAUGCCGCCCCGCUGGACCCGCGAGUUGUAGAUCUUGCCCAGCGAGAUGCUGACGAUUCGGUGCGCCUCCAGCUUGAACUCCAUCCCGCCUGCCGACCCUUCUCCGGGGGACGGGCGCGGGGGUGACGGCUGAGCCCGGGCUCCCGGUCACACGCGGGGAGAGGAGUCGGAGGCCUCAGGAAGUCGGCCCCAGGGGUGGACCCUCGGUAACUGAAGACGACGCCGAGAGACCAAUUUCGAUGACGCGCUCACUGACCCCUACGUCCCCUCCAGUGCAGACAAACGCCCAGCCUCCCGUCCGGUCGCUAACUGAGGGCAGCCCUACCGCCCGGCGCUUUAUAUAAGCUCCCCGCCCGCCAAUCGCGAAGGGCCGCCACGCCCUCACGAGCUGCGCGCGGCCAAUCGGAGCCCGGGGAGGGGCGCCAGAGCCAUUCGAACGUUAGUCCCGCGGAGCAGGCUCUUAAAGGGGACGCGGUGGGCAAGCGGCGAGAGACAGGCGGGGGGGGGGCCUGGGCUCAGAAAGUAGGUGAUAGCGGAGGAGGCUUAGCCCCUGUAUUGUUUGUAGGAAAAGGUUCUGGCUUGGGCGCUGGCUUGCCAGAACCAAAGCAAAACAAACCAUUGGAACUUGCAUCGUGCAGGUGGACUUUGCUCUGCAAUCAAGUCCGGAUCCUUGCCUCAUCACCCCACGCCCCACCUCCAUUUCCAAGGCGGCGCACACCUGAAAGGCUCUGGUCACCCCUGGCAGAAGUGGAGAUGACAGCAAAACGUGGCAAGGGAUACCCUCGGAUAACAACAUAGUAUUACUGCAAGAAGACAGAAAGAAUGAGAUCACUUCCAUAAUCGGACCAUGCAUAUUUCCAAGAUUCCAAGCUACCAGGCAGAGAUGCCAGAAGAAUGGGACACUUUGGCUUUCUCUCGGGCCAGGAAAUAUGUGAAGUGAUCCGGCUAUUCACAGGGCACUGUAGAAACUCGCUGGCUGCUCUCAGGGGUGGUCCAAGGCUGUCCGUAGGGUCACAGUCAUGGCACCCACGGUUCAAAGCUCUUGCAUAAUACAUUCUCAUGAUGGAAGAAAAAGGCCACUUCAUGAUGUAGUGAGGUGCUCUUCACUGGUGGUAUUCAAGUGGAGCCUGGAUGCUCAAGUCAAAGGCACUGGAGAAGACAUUGCUGGCCUUCAUAUGGAAGGAUCUCUCCAGCUCUGAGAUUCUCUAAUUUACUUGUAAAUCGUUGACAGAUGGGAUGUAGGGUAGUGCUGUAUCAUGAGACAAAGCAAAAGUUUGAGCCAAAUGUGAUAAAGGAGUCCAUCAAAA